UCUAGAAUAUCUUGUCAUACCAAACAGUAAGAUGGCUCUCAAAGACUACCCCGGAUAGUGUCAACUUGCAGAGGACUCCACUGGCCAAAGAUGGGACAUUUGAGGUUAAUUAAGGAUAAGAAACUCAGUGAGUUGGAACUCACAUAAUAUGUUUAAAUUAAUGAGCUCAUAGUGAUGUAAAAUUAUUGAUAAUAUUCAGAAGAUGAUGGGGAGCUGAUUAACUAUCUUAGAACUUUUUUUAAAAGGGAAACAAGCAUUUCUUACACAAACUAUAUCAGUGGUUACACUGGGUAACUAAAUAGUAGAUGAGUUAAGCAUGUUUAUAAAAAUAUCCUAGCUAAUAAAUGAAGAUAAAAUGUAGAAGUGGAAUACCACCAUUUGACUACUCCCAGUGAAUGAAUGGAUCUGGCAAAGAGUGUCAAUGGCUGUUAACAUCACAAAAAGAGAGAUAACAUGACCACUUACAGACUUACCAAAGUGAUUGAGCCUGAGUCUGACCAAGCGUUUGGAUCCAGCUGCCAUAUGCAGGACAUAUAGAGGACAGAAGAACAUGUUGAACUGCACCACGAAUGUGGAGCCAGCAACACCCAGAUGGUGGGAAACCAGGCCAAAUGAUCUGACUAUUAGGAGCCCCUUCAAGUUGGCUACUGUGUCCUUUUAACAUAUACGAAGUUGUUCCUAUUUGAGACUAAACUGCGAAAAAUAUUCCCUUGAAUCCUGAAGAUAUACAAUUCCAGAGACUUCUGGAGGCUCACUCCUGCCCCUCUGGACAUUGGUUCUGGGUCCAUGACAGCUCCUCAGAAGAGUAGGCUAUGCCAGAGGUGGAACUCAGGUGAGUCCCUCUU